GGGAAGCCCGCGGAAGGCGAGGUGCCUGGCCCGCCAUGUGGUCUCCUAGCAGGAAGAGCGAGAGAGCCCAGCAGCGAUACGGUGGUUUUCGACCCGGCUAGGGGCCAGGCCGUACGAUUGGGAGCCCGGGGCAGCCCUCCGCGCAGUCACCACGACGCGGCACCCGUGGGCGGGCGUUGGCUUUGCGUGGUGGGCGGCUGGGACGGGUCUCGCCGCUUGGCCACAGUGACCGCACUGGACACAGAGCGCGGUGUGUGGGAGGCGUGGACAGCGACCCCUGGUGACUGCCCCCCCGCCGGCCUCAGUAGUCACACCUGCACCCGCAUCUCUGACCGAGAGCUGCAGGUGGCUGGCCGGGAGGGCGGUAUCCACACUCAGCGACGCUAUGGAAGCAUCUACACAUUAAGGCUGGACCCCAGCGCCCGCACCUAUUGGAGGAACCACCUGUUGCUCCUCAUUUGAUGGAACAGCUUGCAAGGCUUGUGAACAGUGGGCAGGGGUCCCAGAAGGGGCCCCAUGGACUACGGCAUCACUCAUGUUCUGUGGUCGGGCCCUUUGCUGUGCUGUUUGGUGGAGAAACU
rnacentral:sRNA from 1 species